rnacentral:rRNA from 1 species
UACAGAGGUCUCAAGCGUUGUUCGGAUUCAUUGGGCGUAAAGGGUGUGUAGGUGGCGCGCUAAGUCGGGUGUGAAAUUUCGGAGCUUAACUCCGAAACUGCAUUCGAUACUGGCGUGCUUGAGGACUGGAGAGGAGACUGGAAUUCAUGGUGUAGCAGUGAAAUGCGUAGAGAUCAUGAGGAAGACCAGUGGCGAAGGCGGGUCUCUGGGCAAUUCCUGACGCUGAGGCGCGAAAGCGUGGGGAGCAAACGGG